UAGGAACCAUAAGAAAUAGCGGGGGAGGA
rnacentral:piRNA from 1 species